GAUGAACGCUGGCGGUAUGCUUAACACAUGCAAGUCGAACGGACUCUUCGGAGUUAGUGGCGGACGUGUGAGUAACGCGUGAGAAUCUGGCUUUGGGUUCGGGACCACCUCUGGAAACGGUGGCUCAUACCGGAUGUGCCUAGAGGUAAAAGAGAAAUUGCCUGCAGAUGAGCUCGCGUCUAAUUAGCUAGUUGGUGAGGUAAAGCCUCACCAAGGCAGCGAUCAGUAGCUGGUGUGAGAGGAGGACCAGCCACGCUGAGACAGAGACGCGGCCGAGACUACUACGGGGGGAAGCAGGGGGGAAUUAUACGGAAUGGGCGAGAGAGUGACGGAGCAAUACUGCGUGAGGGAAGAAGGUUCUUGGGGUGUAAAACUGUUUUCUUAGGGGAGAACAGAAUGACGGUACCUAAGGAAGAAGCACCGGCUAACUACGUG
rnacentral:rRNA from 1 species